GAUGAACGCUGGCGGCGGGCCUAACACAUGCAAGUCGAGCGGAUGGAGGGAGCUUGCGCCUGGAUGCCGCGGGGGGCGGGCGGGUGAUGCACAGGAGUAUGCCCGGCAGUGGGGGAUGACGUCAGGACGCGAGAGCGGAUACAACAUACGACGAGAGGGUGAAACGGGGGGAUCAUCGGAGAACACGGGAUCUGAUGAGCCUAGGUCGGAUUAGCUAGCUGGUGGGGUAAGGGCGUACCAAGGCGACGAUCCGUAACCGGGCUGAGAGGUGGAUCAGUCACACUGGAACUGAGACACGGUCCAGACUCCUACGGGAGGCAGCAGUGGGGAAUAUUGGGCAAUGGGCGAAAGCCUGACCCAGCCAGGCCGCGUGUGUGAAGAAGGUCUUCGGAUCGUAAAGCUCUGUUAUUUGGGAGGAACAGCUGUGUGUUAAUCCCUGGCUGUCUUGACGGUACCUACUCAAAAAGCACCGGCUAACUACGUG
rnacentral:rRNA from 1 species